CCUCCAAUAUGAAAUUCAUAGCGUUCCGGUUCCUCCACGUACCCAAUCCCGGAACGAUAUAACGCGCAGAGACGUCGAUUAAAUGUUCCUGAUCAUCCCAUCCCGCUAACAUACACCUUUUCCAAAUCCAAUUAAUCCUUCACUCUACGCCUUUUCGAAUACACGCAACGGUACCUCAUCAACAAAAAUCCAACCACAUCAUCCACAAAACGGAUUGCACUUAUUACGCGACGAACACACAAUUCCCCCACAUCAUCCAUUUGCCAUCAUCAUCUUCCCACUGAUAGUUCUUCUUCUGGCGACGAUCAACAACCGCUUUGAAAUUAUCGCUGAAACAAUCUAGGCGGUGAAGACUUCCAAUGGCGUCCCUUCUGAUGGCACUAUGUUUGCUCCUGGUAUGUGUAUAAUUACACGUUCAUCAUCUACAUGAACCCUAAUUUGAUUUAAUUUUAAUUUCAUGAUUUGUGAUUGUUGAAACCCUUAAAAUUGUGAAUACCAAAGCAGAGAAAACUCUUGUUCACGGAAUUUACUCUCUUUUCCCCAGGUAAUUCGACUUUACAGUUAAACCUUCUCAAUUUAUAUGAAUAAUUAACUUCUGACCAUGUUGACUUUGAAUUUCAACCUUCUUGAUCUUUAAGUAGGCAUAAUUGCCUUCAUCAUUUUUAUCAGACUUUUCACUUUCCUUUUCAUGUUUCGCUUAAUUCUCAUUAGUUUCAUGAACUUUUUAUAUUUAAUUUUAACAAAAUUCUGAACGUGAUACAAAUCACAGAAUGGGCCCUGUAAGACAAUAAAGAUGCAAAUUUAUAUUCUUGGUCUCCGUCUCUAAUUCUCUUCAUGUUUCUCUACACAUGUCGUUCACUCUGAACAUGUUGCAUUAAUCUAAUGAAGUAUUUGACGAAGAAUGGUAAGAGGCGGUGUUAAAAUCUAGAAGUUUUAUUCAAAAAAUUGUAUCAGUUUUGUACAAUGAAGCUUUCUGAUCAUUUGGUAAUUGAAGAAAAUCGUAAAAGGUCAUUAUGCAAUUGUAUUGAGAAAUUUUGGAAACUACUUAAUUUGAUUCUUAAAAUGUGUUUGGGUAAGAUACUCAGGGAAAUCACCGUCAAAGAACCUUAAUUAUCUCAAGAUGGUUGCAUUAGAGGUGUCUGAUUUAAAGCUGUGGUUAUCAAGAAACACAAUGAGAGUCUUAAAAUGGGGUACUAAAUUAUAAAAGCUGCAAGGAUGAAUGUAAUAAUCUUCAGGUGAAGGGAUCCAAAAGUCUACAAACAUCUGACUACAAUGCCUAAAAUGUCUGAGUUUGCAACAUUUUUUUGACUGAACUUGGUCAACCCCUUGAUAGUAAUACUUAGAAGGUAACGGUAAUUCCAACUCAUUUCUGGGAAAUACACAUUAUACAUAACUGGCUAAAACUAUUCCAUGGUUAAAAUCCUCAUGCUUCAAGACUCAAAAAGAAAAGACAAGAAAAAAGUUUGUAAUACUAGAUGAUGAUGGUGAGGGUAGAUUAUGCAUAGUUUUGGUGGUAGCAAAAAAUGUUCUUUUUUCACAUCUUAAGAAGUUUUUUGUUCUAUAAAUUUCAACUUUAAAUAGUUAAAAGGUACAUUAUGUAUAAUGUCUCGAGGAGGUGGUGUAAAUGAUUGUCUUUGUUAAUGAAGAAGCGAUAGUAAAAAUGAAUCACA